AAAAAACUCUGUCUGUUAUGCCUUUUCAUUCCCGGUUAUUGUGGAUUUCAUUUUUGUAAAUGUGUUACUGUUUUAAGCUAUUUUCAAAAUGCUUUUUGAGUAUUCAUGUUGGACUUCUGGAUAAAGUGUUAAACUGAUUAACUUAUUAGUUACUUUUCAGUUCUUUAAGCGCUUAUGAAAAGUGCUUUUUUAAUUAAGCUAUUUUUAUCUCUGCAGGUUACAACUUGAAGUGACUUUGAUGGGAUGGGAGGUGGUUGCGUGAAGCUUCAAGGAAGCAAGUUUGAGUCGUACCAGUUCCAAGGAAGGUUCAACGGUCUCUGGCUUUGGUCUCUUGGGGCAAUGGUUCUUAUCAAUUGAAAUUGCAACAGCUUUUUAUUAAAUUAGGAUGUAAUCAAUUAAGUAUUUAGGUUAAAUGUAUAUUUGGACUAUUUGUAACCUAUUGGAUUUAAAAUCUGUUUAUGUAAUUACUUUUUUAAGCAUUCAAACCUUAUUUCCAUAUUUUAAUUAUGCUAAUCAUUCAACUUUUAAAAACAAUACACUUCUAACUUAAGUAUAAUGAUUUAAUUUUAAAAACAACAAAUUUCUAAUUUAA
rnacentral:lncRNA from 1 species